AUUAUGAGACAUGACAAAGGCUGGGAACAGGUAGAGCAUGAAUGAAGCUAACAACAGAAUAUAGUCAUAGAAAGUGAGAAUGAGAGGAAGAACCUGUUGUUGCUACACUCAUGCACUGCCUCUUCCCUGGCUCUGGCUCUGUCCCUUCC